AAGCAUAUCAAUAAGCGGAGGAAAAGAAACCAACAGGGAUUGCCCUAGUAACGGCGAGUGAAGCGGCAACAGCUCAAAUUUGAAAUCUGGCCCUCGGGUCCGAGUUGUAAUUUGUAGAGGAUGCUUUUGGCGCGGUGCCUUCCGAGUUCCCUGGAACGGGACGCCUUAGAGGGUGAGAGCCCCGUACGGUUGGACACCAAGCCUCUGUAAAGCUCCUUCGACGAGUCGAGUAGUUUGGGAAUGCUGCUCUAAAUGGGAGGUAAAUUUCUUCUAAAGCUAAAUAUUGGCCAGAGACCGAUAGCGCACAAGUAGAGUGAUCGAAAGAUGAAAAGCACUUUGAAAAGAGGGUUAAAUAGCACGUGAAAUUGUUGAAAGGGAAGCGUUUGCGACCAGACCUUUUCCUAGCGGAUCAACCGGUGUUCUCACCGGUGCACUUCGCUAGGUUUAGGCCAGCAUCGGUUUCUGUAGGGGGAUAAAAGCUCUGGGAACGUAGCUCCUCCGGGAGUGUUAUAGCCCUCUGCAUAAUACCCUUACGGGGACCGAGGACCGCGCUUCGGCAAGGAUGCUGGCGUAAUGGUCGUCAACGACCCGUCUUGAAACACGGACCAAGGAGUCGAACAUUUGUGCGAGUGUUUGGGUGUUAAACCCUCACGCGUAAUGAAAGUGAACGGAGGUGAGAGCCCUUACGGGUGCAUCAUCGACCGAUCCUGAUGUCUUCGGAUGGAUUUGAGUAAGAGCAUAACUGUUCGGACCCGAAAGAUGGUGAACUAUGCGUGGAUAGGGUGAAGCCAGAGGAAACUCUGGUGGAGGCUCGCAGCGGUUCUGACGUGCAAAUCGAUCGUCAAAUCUGCGCAUGGGGGCGAAAGACUUAUCGAACCAUCUAGUAGCUGGUUACCGCCGA
rnacentral:rRNA from 1 species